rnacentral:rRNA from 1 species
GACGAACGCUGGCGGCGUGCUUAACACAUGCAAGUCGAACGGUAAGGCCCUUCGGGGUACACGAGUGGCGAACGGGUGAGUAACACGUGGUGAUCUGCCCUGCACUUCGGGAUAAGCCUGGGAAACUGGGUCUAAUACCGGAUAGGACCCUGGGAUGCAUGUCCUGGGGUGGAAAGCUUUUGCGGUGUGGGAUGGGCCCGCGGCCUAUCAGCUUGGUGGUGGGGGGGUGGCCUACCCAGGCGACCACGGGUAGCCGGCCUGAGAGGGUGAACGGCCACACUGGGACGGAGAUACGGCCCAGACUCCUACGGGAGGCAGCAGUGGGGAAUAUUGCACAAUGGGCGCAAGCCUGAUGCAGCGACGCCGCGUGAGGGAUGACGGCCUUCGGGUUGUAAACCUCUUUCAGCACCGACGAAGCGCAAGUGACGGUAGGUGCAGAAGAAGGACCGGCCAACUACGUGCCAGCCGCCGCCGUAA